rnacentral:rRNA from 1 species
AUGAACGUUAGCGGCGCGCCUGAUGCAUGCAAGUCGAACGGUCUGAUAAUUCGCAAGAGUAAUCAGAUAGUGGCGAACGGCUGAGUAACGCGUAAGUAACCUACCUCCAAGUGGGGAAUAACCUGCCGAAAGGCAAGCUAAUACCGCAUGUUUUGAGAAACGUUGGUUUUUCAGUAAAGCUUUUGCGCUUGGAGAAGGGCUUGCGUCUGAUUAGCUAGUUGGUUAGGGUAAUGGCCUACCAAGGCGAUGAUCAGUAGCUGGUCUAAGAGGACGACCAGCCAGACAGGGACUGAGACACGGCCCUGACUCCUACGGGAGGCAGCAGCAAGGAAUUUUGCGCAAUGGGCGAAAGCCUGACGCAGCGACGCCGCGUGAGGGAUGAAGGCUUUCGAGUCGUAAACCUCUUUUCCUGAGGAAGAAUAAUGACGGUACUCAGGGAAUAAGUCUUGGCUAACUACGU